rfam:Gorilla gorilla gorilla genomic chromosome, chr19, whole genome shotgun sequence
GCCAGGCGUGGCGGCUCACGCCUGUAAUCCCAGCACUUUGGGAGGCCGAGGCGGGUGGAUCACCUGAGGUCAGGAGUUCAAGACCAGCCUGGCCAACAUGGUGAAACCCUGUCUCUA